rnacentral:misc_RNA from 1 species
AACCAUAGAAACCUGCGGAGUACCUGCGGAAGGAUCAUUACACAAUACAAUAUGAAGGCUGUCCGCAGCUGGAGUAUUUUAUUACCCUUGUCUUUUGCGCACUUGUUGUUUCCUGGGCGGGUCCGCUCGCCACCAGGACCACCAAAUAAACCUUUUUUAUGCAGUUGCAAUCAGCGUCAGUACAAACAAUGUAAAUCAUUUACAACUUUUAACAACGGAUCUCAGAUCGGAAGAGCACAC